rnacentral:rRNA from 1 species
GCGCCAAUGCGCGAAAGCGUGACGCAGCGACGCCGCGUGGGGAUGAAGGCCUUCGGGUUGUAAACCCCUUCGCCAGGGACGAAGCGAGAGUGACGGUACCUGGAGAAGAAGUCCCGGCUAACUACGUGCCAGCAGCCGCGGUAACACGUAGGGGACGAGCGUUGUCCGGAUUCAUUGGGCGUAAAGCGCGCGUAGGCGGUCGUGCAAGUCGGUUGUGAAAUCCCGGGGCUCAACCCCCGGGACUGCGUCCGAAACUGCGCGACUGGAGGCAGGUAGGGGAGAUCGGAAUUCCUGGUGUAGCGGUGAAAUGCGCAGAUAUCAGGAGGAACACCGGUGGCGAAGGCGGAUCUCUGGGCCUUGCCUGACGCUGAGGCGCGAAAGCUAGGGGAGCGAACAGGAUUAGAUACCCUGGUAGUCCUAGCCGUAAACGUUGGGUGCUAGGUGUGGGCGGACAUCGACCCCGUCCGUGCCGAAGCUAACGCAUUAAGCCACCCCGCCUGGGGAGUACGGCCGCAAGGCUA